rnacentral:rRNA from 1 species
UACGUAGGGGGCUAGCGUUGUCCGGAUUUAUUGGGCGUAAAGAGCGUGUAGGCGGCUUGGCAAGUCUGUCGUGAAAACUCGAGGCUCAACCUCGAGCUGUCGGUGGAAACUGCUUGGCUAGAGUCCGGAAGAGGAGAGUGGAAUUCCUGGUGUAGCGGUGAAAUGCGCAGAUAUCAGGAAGAACACCUAUGGCGAAGGCAGCUCUCUGGGACGGUACUGACGCUGAGACGCGAAAGCGUGGGGAGCGAACAGG